CGGACUCAUCAUUGAGUAAACUUUGACCCUGUACCUCACAGUCAGCAGACACACUCCAGCCAAUCAGCAGCAGACCCUCCCUCCCAGACCCUCCCACCUCCUGGACAGCAUCCAUUUUGAAGCUGCAUUCUUAGUGAGCUGUCCAGGAGGUGGGAGGGUCUGGGAGGGAGGGUCUGCUGCUGAUUGGCUGGAGUGUGUCUGCUGACUGUGAGGUACAGGGUCAAAGUUUACGCA